CGCGCACGAAGGCGCCGCUGCCCGCGCUCGGGCCCCGGGAGCGCCAGCCUUCCCCCACCUGGAUCCUCUCGGCUUCUCCCAUCCCACAGGAAUAGCUGGGGAGGCUCCCGGGGGGAGCGGGUAUUAUUUUCAGGCUGUAAUUAAGGCUUCCUGCGCUACCCAGCAGGCAGAACGGUGUGCGUUCAGCACAGCUCGGCGAGGUGACAUGGGGAAGGAGCUGGGGGGCAGCCAUGCGAUGCUGGAAAGGAAUCUCUAGGGUAGUGCAAAGCACCGCCGGCUUCUUAAUAAACUCAUAGGGCAAAGAAAGAGAGGCACCUGAGCACCGGUCUUUGUAAUCACAAGCACAGGAUAUUGAGCCGGCAAACCACCGCUUCCCACCUGUUCUUCCACGGCAUGAACAGGUGUUUCCUUAUUCCCGUGAGCUUUUCUCAGGAAAAGUAUGCAGUUGCCUGGGACAACAGACUGCCAAACUACUUCUGUUGGAGAAGAUAGAAAUCAGCUUCUUGAACAUCAUGAACAUCCAAACAGCAAAUCUCUGUUGAUGCUGCUGAGAAAGGCACAGGAGAACACAAGGACAAAGUGGGAGAAUAAGAAAAUGGGAAAGAGAAGAGAGGCAAAAGAAGUUUGAUAGCAACAAUACCAGAAUGCCUUCCAGGAAUAUCUAGGGCUCAAGCGAACUCAAUGGAUGCAGGAGCUUUAUUUGUUUGCUUUGCUGGACAAACUGGCCAAUGGAUAACUCCCUUAACCAAAGAAGUUACCCUGAAGAAAAGACUUUGUAUCUCCAGAGCAAAGAGAGCUUCCUGCAAAACAACAUCAGAGGAGGUAGAGAGCAGUUUCAGGUCUGAGAAUUCCCAUAAAAGGAAGACAUGAAAAUGAGAAUGGAAGAAGGCACAGGGGGAUCUACCAGCAGUGGGGCGAGUCACAAAGCCCACUUGGGAGAGCCAGGGUUACUCGCCAGACUCCAAGCUCUGGGAAGCCCACGCUGCCUGGCCUGCCCAUCUCUGCACCCACUGCCCGCUUUUCCUGCAUCCAAGUCAUCCUCCUCUACUCAUCCCUGAUCAUGAAGAACUAAGGAACUUAUUUGGUAUUGAUUGGACUGAUUUAUUUGGUUUCCAGAAAGUUAUUCCAUAGCACUUGUGAAAGCUUGGCAAAACUUAUGGCUUUUAUAAAUUAUGUGGAGAUUAACCUGCUUUGUGCAUAAUGAGAACAAAGUAAUUGCUGAGGCAUGACUUUGGUGUGUUUUGUUUUCCAUUUUUAUUUAAACACUCAGAGAUAUUGGUUUAUUUACUUGUUUACUUUCUAUGACCAUAAGGAAUUUAUUCUACCAAAGAAAAUAACUUCCUUCAACCUCCAAACCUGUAUCUUAUUAGUAAAACCAUAUAAAUAAUUUUAGCAUUUCCCCUUCCUGUACAUGAAACUCGUUAUUGUAAAGCCUGCAUGAGCUAUACCUUUCCCCCUGUUCUUCACAUGAUUUUCAAACAAGCUGAGCUGCCCUGGAAAAUAGGUCAAGGCCGUGCUCAGUGCUGUGCCUCUGCUCAGGUGUUAGUCUUUGCAGGGUGCUGAUCUGCAGAGCCAGCCUGGUUUAAGCAGGAGGUGAAGGAUGUGGGCCAUAUUAGCUGUAACCCCAGUGCCAAAAUAUUUGUGUGUGUGUCUUGGGCAGAAGCAAGGCAACCUCCAGGGAAAGCAUGGGCAAAGAUUUCUGUUUUGUCGUGUAAGUAAUCAGUAAAUGGGCCAGCCCUCCUGCAUAGCUAGACCUCUUGUAGAUGAGGAUCUACAUCUGUAGAUCUUCUCCUGUGAGUCUUCAAUGUACAAAUUAAGUUUUUGGCAAAUAAUUUCUUAAUGAAGUUUCUAUUGAAUAUUUUGAGAAGUUAAAAAUUCUUUUCCCAUUUUUCCUUCCUGUUCCUUAUUUAAGCUCCUGAACAUAGAUUUGUAUAAAAUUUUGUACCUUGCUUGGACUGAAAUGCUUUAAUACUUCUACAAGUGGCAAAACUGUAUUGUUUUUCCUUUCAAGGCAUUCUAAUAUACUCAUG